GUCCCAUAUGCGCAUGCGUUGGAGGCCGAUGACGUCACCGGUCGCGCGCGCCGUGUCUUGAGUUUCAGCGUCGAGUCUUCUGAGAUCAGCUCCUCUCACACUGAAUCACAUCAUCAGUGAAGAACAAAGAGGCCUGAUGGAGAAGAGUGAAGAACUGAGUGAAGUGAAGGAGGAGAGAG